GUAGGUAUAGCUCAGUUGGUAGAGCACCUGACUGUUUGUUAAUCAGGAAGUCGCAGGUUUGAAACCUGCCAUCUACG
rnacentral:tRNA from 1 species